AACCCCAUCUCUACUAAAAGUGCAAAAAUUAGCUGGGUGUAGUAAGAAAUAUAAUAAAAAUUUUAAAAAAGGUUUCAUGAUUAGUCCUUAUUUAGAAUGUUUUCUAUUGAUAGUUUCUUAGCUAUGUCAACGAUUUCCUCCUUUGGUAGACACUAGAUGGCAGUAUAAUUAUCCUAAAGUGAUGUGAAGUAGAAGAAAAGUAUUGAUGUUUUAUGCGGAGCGGUGCUUUCUCUCUUUAGAUUUGAGGAAAGUGCAAAUUUAUUGACUAUGAAUUUAUCUAAUAAAUCUGAGCCAGUUGAGGACCGAUUUUGGUUUAGUUAUGGGGAAAUGAUACAUUAAAAAAGUCUUCAUUUGAUUUAAUGCGACUCCUAAGUUUAGAACUUUCUUUAGUUUAUUGACUGCUGGUCUGAUCAAGAAAUGUUCUGCUACUAGAGGCUGCAGAGAGGGGGAAAAGGGUGUGGGCUGAACAACUACCAUUUGGGUAAUGUGCUCACUAUCUGGGUGGUGGGAUUAUGUGUACCCCAAACCUCAACAUCCUGUAAUAUACCCAGGUAACAAACCUACACCUGUGCUCCCUGAAUCUAAAAUAAAAGUUUAAAUUAUAAAAGAAAAACACAAAAACCAGAAAUGUUCUGUGUACAGCACAGAGCGGCAGUCAGUUGGCACUCAGUACAUCUUACUGAUUGAUUACUGUACAGUGGAUCUUCAAGGAAGAAAAGAUAGCUUGCCAGCUUCAGAAAGGACCUGGGCUUUUGAAACAAGUCUGGUAAAGAUUAAGAAUUAAAAAAAAAAUAAUUGGCUGAAAUACAGGUUUCCAGACAAAUGGUGGAGAAUAAUGUACCUGGGGGGCUCAUUGGGAACAGGAUAGAUUGGACAGGUAUGGAGAGCUAUAGGAAGCAGAGUCUAGGCAGGUCUAGGACCUGAACGGCCAGCUGAAUAGUUUCAGCAGAAGGACAUUCACAGAUACCCAGGUAAUAAAAGGAAAAGAUGUUAGCCAUCCAGACUACAGGGCAGCUAAUACAGGUGAGUAUCUACUUAGGUGGGUUGUUAAUGUCAAGAGAAGCCAGUAACCAGAACUGGAAGCCAGGACCUCAAAGGACUGAGGGUCCCCAUUACUGGAGGACUCUAUCAUUAGGGGAUCAAAGAUAUUGGACCUAAAUGAAGGCAAUAAUUUGGCUUGAAGCACAGAACCAGACCUUGUUACCAGAAUUGGGUGAAGUCUAAGUAGAAUUGGUCAAAAAGCUGAUUUCCUGUGGAGCGCUUCAGUGGUUUUGUCGGGAAUCCUUUAAUUAGCCCUAAGUGGAUCAGAUCCUAGAGCUUUUAGUAGGGUUGAAACUGCAAGAACCCCAGAUGAGAAAGUGAGAGGCCUAUGGAGAGAAUCAAUGACUCCACCACCAGCUGGUGAGGUAGGCUGUGUCUGAAUUUUGAAUGUUAGACCAAGGAUCAGUGGGGCAAUGGAAAGCAUGCAGGCUUUGGAGGGAGGCAGAAUUAAGUUUUGUUCUUGGCUCUUUUAUUUAUUGUUUGUUGUGAUACCAGUGGAUAAGUCAUCUUACUACUCUGAGCUUAAAAAAAAAAUGUGUUUCUGUUCAUCACUUUCCUUUUUCUGCUCAUAAAUCUUUUUCAACGACACGACCUGUGCUGGAGUCUCUCUGAAUCCAUUCUGGUUUGUGGGUGGCUCUAUUCCCAAAUUGAUUUUUGCUCAAUUAAAUUUUGGUAAAUUAAAAAAAAUGUGUUUUAAGAAACAACAUCUAUUAAUUCUAUGUAAAAUAGUUAGAAAUGAGCAGAGUCCGCAGUGAGAGGGAUAAGCUCUGAAGCUGAGAUGAUGAUCUCAGAGUGAAGUGAUAAAGGUCAGGACUCAGUUGGGGAUGCAAGAUUGAAUAGAAGAGAUCACACUUUGAAGGAAGAGAGAAAGGGACUUGGACAUAGGGCACAGAGGGUGAAAGAAAGAGAUUUGUUAAAGGUAACAAAAGUUUUUAGCCUGAGAGAUUAAGAAACAGUAGACUACUGAGAGACAUGGGGGUGAUGGUAAGGGGAAAACCAAUGACCUUCUGGGUGGCCUUGAUGGGCUGGUGGGAUAUCCUGUGCAUCUGUCUGCUGAGCAGUUGGAGACAUGAGUGGAGCUGAGAAGUCAGAAGUACAGAUACAAAAUUGGGGGAGUUAUCACUACACAAGUGAUCACUGAUUUUAUCAGAAAGAAGAGAUCUUCAGGGGAUCCAAGAGAAGAGCACAAAUGGAGAAUAGAUGAGAGCUAAGGAUAGAAAUUUGGGGAAGGCCCAUGGUCAUGGGUGCGGGAGAAGAUUCUGCUGAGAAAACAGAAAAGGAGCAUUUGAAGAGUUGGAUGAAGUAACAGGAAAAUAUACUGAUGAAACCAAGGGAAGAGAAUUUCAAGUAGAAAGAAUGGUGAGUAAUAUGAAAUGCCACUAGAGACCACAAGAAAAUUAAGAUGGAGUACAGGUCAAUAGUCUAGAAAGAGGACAUUGGAGACCCAAGCUCCUGGGAGCAAAGACUAGGAAAUAACAAGCCAAAAUUUGCAGAAGGGUUGGGAAGUAGAAGCAGUGUAUUUAGAGGCUGAGUUUGAGAAAGUUUAAAGCAAAGAGCAUUCAAAAAGGAAUUAUAUA